rnacentral:lncRNA from 1 species
GAAUGAGAUUAGUGCCCUUAUAACAGAGACCCCAGAGAGAUCCCUUACUCCUUCCACCAUGAGAGGACACAAUGAAAAGAUGGCAGUCUGUGAACUAGGAAGUGGGCCCUCUGCAGACACCAAAUCUACUGGCACCUGGAUCUUGAACUUCCAAGCCUCCGAAACUGGUAUCCUUGGGCAGUAGUGAAAUUUCCAGGACUAUUAUUCUACUGAGAAGGCACACAUAGAUCUGAGUCCUUCUGAAUUUCAUUGUGUCGUGAUCACUGUGAAAUAGGAAGUACCUGUGGGAAAUGCAAACUUCCUGCUCUUCCUUACUUUAAUCCCAGAUAGCCUACUUCUGGCUCAUACGCAGCAAAAUAAUACUUCUGUAUUCUCAGCACUUACG